rnacentral:rRNA from 1 species
AGAGUUUGAUCCUGGCUCAGGACGAACGCUGGCGGCGUGCUUAACACAUGCAAGUCGAGCGGAAAGGCCCUUCGGGGUACUCGAGCGGCGAACGGGUGAGUAACACGUGGGCAACCUGCCCCUAGCACUGGGAUAACCCCGGGAAACCGGGGCUAAUACCGGAUACGACCUCGGAGGGCAUCUUCCGAGGUGGAAAGGGUUACUGGCUAGGGAUGGGCCCGCGGCCUAUCAGCUUGUUGGUGGGGUAACGGCCCACCAAGGCUCCGACGGGUAGCCGGCCUGAGAGGGCGACCGGCCACACUGGGACUGAGACACGGCCCAGACUCCUACGGGAGGCAGCAGUGGGGAAUAUUGCACAAUGGGCGAAAGCCUGAUGCAGCGACGCCGCGUGAGGGAUGACGGCCUUCGGGUUGUAAACCUCUUUCAGCUCCGACGAAGCGAAAGUGACGGUAGGAGCAGAAGAAGCACCGGCCAACUACGUGCCAGCAGCCGCGGUAAUACGUAGGGUGCAAGCGUUGUCCGGAAUUAUUGGGCGUAAAGAGCUCGUAGGCGGCUUGUCGCGUCGGCUGUGAAAACCUGGGGCUCAACCCCGGGCCUGCAGCCGAUACGGGCAAGCUAGAAUUCGGUAGGGGAGACUGGAAUUCCUGGUGUAGCGGUGAAAUGCGCAGAUAUCAGGAGGAACACCGGUGGCGAAGGCGGGUCUCUGGGCCGAUAUUGACGCUGAGGAGCGAAAGCGUGGGGAGCGAACAGGAUUAGAUACCCUGGUAGUCCACGCCGUAAACGUUGGGCGCUAGGUGUGGGCCACAUUCCACGUGGUCUGUGCCGCAGCUAACGCAUUAAGCGCCCCGCCUGGGGAGUACGGCCGCAAGGCUAAAACUCAAAGGAAUUGACGG